UCCCCUGUGGUGUAAUCGGCAACACUAUCCACUUUGGAUGGAUCAUUUCAGGUUCGAGUCCUGGCAGGGGAG
rfam:Streptomyces luteus strain TRM 45540 genomic scaffold Scaffold1, whole genome shotgun sequence.